UUUGUACUUAUCCAAUACAAAAUGAUUUCAAAUGGCACUACUGUUCUGCUCCAUAUCAUCCUGAAACUUAAAGCCUGCAAAUAUUAAAACUAAAAAGAUACUUAAAGGACAUUUGCCAUUUUGCAGGUGCUGUCUAUCAUCCACAGUAGAAAGGAGUUUCAUGACCAGUAUAAUUUACGCAAUUGUGUGCACAUUUCACUUAAAAUGGUAACUUUCAUACUUGACUAUCCCCCUUUCCCGAGAAUGCCUAAAUCAGGCAGCAUGAUUUGCUCAGCCUAAAAGAUACAGCUCUUCGCGUAUAUUCUCAUUACCUUUUGAAAAGUCAGGUGUCAGAAAAUUAUGACCCACGACUUUAAAGAUCGAGACAGAGUGCCUCUGAGAUCCUUUAAAGAUGUCUUUCAGAAGGGUCUUUAGUAUGGACAUUAAUAAGGAUUGACAUGACUCCAUGAGAUCCAAUCAUACUAACCCUCAGUUGUCCUUUCAAACUCUCUCCAAGAACGAAACCCCGUAACACUUCCAAGAAGGACAGGAUAAUUUUCUUACACCCCCAGUCUGAGAGUCUAAUCCAGUGCAAAUAUUGCCAAGGAAGAUAAGUGGUUUUCAUAAUGUUUUUGUCGGAUUUUAGCCUAUAAAGGUUGUUGUUUAAAUGUCGACCUGACUACGCAUCCAUUGUAUUCCAUCAUCCAGAUUUGUGUCGUUGAAAGAUUGGUGUGAUUCAGAUGUGUUAGGACAUCAGAGUCCUGGAAUUCGCAAUUCUAAGAGUUUUAAAUGUCACAGUGGUUAUUCCCAUGGUUUUGCGACCGGAGGUCCUGGGUUCGAAUCCUAGCCAAUGUAACUUUUACAGGUCUUAUUUCUAGAUAUGUCAGGAAAGCCCUGACCUGGAUUUCAUAACUUCGCUCUUGACUGAAACAUAUUUUAUUACGGUUAAGUAAAAUAGGCCUAUUCAACCUCAUUGAAGUAAAUGUUGAAAACGUGUAUAUAUUUUAUAUUUUUCAGCCUUGUGAAUCAUCAAAACAUUGCACACUAGUUGCAAUUUAUCUGGCCACAUACAAAUAAAUUUAAGAUAAUCUAUGCCAUUAGAGCGCAGAGGCUUAGGCUAAGAGAACAUAGCAACAUCUGUAAGGUUUAUUAUCUAAUUCGAAAUUGUGUUUCGGGAAGGAUAAAAAAUAGGGUACGAAAUUCUGACACAAGAAAACAGGGUAUACACAAUCUGUAAAAUUGGUACAAAUACAUAUUUUACAUUUCACUCACCACUUGUUAAAUGUCUGUUGAUUAGGAAUGUAGGCUGAGAUUGAAUUAUAAGAUUCCAGUCCAAAUUAUAUUUAAAAGACUGGAGAUCAGGCGAUUUACGCUCAGUUCACUAUCCUUUCAGUCAUCUCCAAUGAUCUACUUUCAUUCAAUCGUUUUCGCUUCUUUAGUAUCGUUCACACAGCUUCCCCUAAAUAUUUACAAAACUCUGAUGUUGGUUUAAAAUAGGGAUAUCGGGAGCAAGGGGGAGAUAUUAAAGACAAGAGGACAUUCCUGUCCCCGAAACGCCAAUUUUUUUUCCUCCUCUGAGCCUCCCGCGGGCGCAAUAAUAGAGGCUCAUUACAGAGAUGACUUUUUAAACAUCGUUUUAACGAUGAACUUGACAAAAGAGAGCAUUGCAGAUCGACCGCGACAUCAAUGCAAGAUAAUACCAGCGUGUAGUCGUCCUAUACACACAACGCCUUAAGCUAUCGACGGUUUAAGGUAACGCUUCCUGCCCGGGUAGAACCGUCUACGUUAAAAGGAGAAAUGGUCCAAAACGCACUUUUCUAGGUUCAUCGCAUUACCUUCGAUGGCUGUCGGAUACGUCGGGACUCCGCUGUCGGGACACAGACAGAGAAAAAUAAAGGUCUGGCAGCACGUUGGCCACAGAAGUCUGUUUUCAAAAGAGACUCGUAUUAGAGGAAGGCGGUGGCACCUGGCCCCCAUUGUGGCAUCGCUUCUAACGCCACGGAUGAUGAUGUCUAGGCUACAUUGAGGAACGACAAUUUCAAAAUAAUAUGCCACUGCGUAAGGCCUGUAUCUAAUUUACUCGGGUCAUCAAUUUUCCAGGUCAUUACCUUGUCCUAACUGAACUCCAUUGGUAAACAUUAUUCAUGUUCAUGGUAUGUCCUUUUCAUACUACAACAUACAUGUAUAAUAAAAGUAUAGAAACAAUGAAAAUGUUGUCGCAUUGAUGAAUGAAAUGAGUAAACAGAAUGGAAUUAAAGUAUUUUUUAAUACGAGGAUAAGAUAAUAGAAUCAUAUAGUACAUUAUGAUUUAUGUAUUCUGAAUUUCUUUUUGUUUCUGUUUUAGGAACAGGAGAGGUUAUUUCUGAUUUCGGUCUGCCUGAUAGUAUCAACAUAUAAACACACAUACAUACUCCAAUGCAUACGUACGUACAUACAUAAAUACGCAAGUCAUUAAAUACGUUUUAAGAAAUUAUGCAUAUCAAUAGAGUUAUAGAAGCUUUAUUACUUUUUUUCUUGGUUUACCACAUGAAUGUCUGAUAUUUGGAUGUACAGUACCACACACGGCUCCGAUUUAUAUAAACCCUCUUUUUUUAUUUUUGUAAUAAAUGACAAGUUAAUCCAAACAUGAAGUUGUUUCAAAUGAACUCUGCUCGUUUUUAUUCACUUCAUACCCUGUCAAUGUCCAAGAUUUCAGAGGCGGUGGAAAUAGGUCGAUUGCAUCUGAAUCUUACACGGCGAAACAGGUGGAUGCCAUGUUCAUCAACACGAUAUGCUGCAUGAAAUUUGUAACGUGCCUGAAUGAAAGAGAUUUCGUGCACCUGCACCAAAACUGAUGUAUGGGUCCAAGUCAGUGAUGCCCUGUUCUGGUUUGUGUACAAAUUUUGUCCAUAAUUUCGGGUCGAGGUCUCAGGCAUGCAGGGAAUGUCGUUAAAUCAAGUUCAUGACCAAGACAUGUCUAGGGGGAACUGGAGGAAAAAUGUAAGGUUCAUGAAAAUAAAGUUUUAAACCUAACCGUUUUUUUUAAUUCAAAACUUAACCAUAAAAUGCAGAUACUAUAACGGGGAAGAUGGACCACUUGGAAAUUGAUCAUUGUAUAUGACUAGCGUCAGAAGAGUCAGGGUAUCGGGGUAUUGCCUAGAUAGACACCUUUCCAGGGUGAUAAUCACACAAGCUGUGAAUGAAGACGAGAGCGUUACGCAGAGGGGUCAACGGUGUCCAAAAGACGACUAGAAGUGGGGAAAGGGUGAUCUAUCAUUUUUUCACCAACCUCUAAAUGUAACAUUGCGAUGCUUGUGUCAACUCGACGUAAAUUCGUUAUAUAAACUGACAUAUACGUGCAAAUCCUUGCACUAUCCAUUCCGGCGGUUUUAGGAGGGGAUUAAGGACAGGAGGAGUCCUGCUUCAACUAUGGCUUACCCAUUCAAAAAAAAAGAAAAAAAAGAAGAACCACCUGUCGGCUGGACUCGCCAGAAGACACAUAUUUCUAUGAUAGUUUAUAGAAUGAAUAAGAAAUAUUUUUCUACAUUUUAACCUUUGACCCCCGGUCUGCUGAUUCAUGGUCUUACAAAGUAUGGAAGCAUAAGCUCGAUGAGAAGUUCAAAGCCUGAAGAUUGAUGCACGGCGUAUGGUGUUUUUGACGUUUGUUUUGGAAGCAAAAUCCCUCUCGGAAGAAGGCAUCACUAAUGUUACAAGCGAGAUGGGAGCAAGGACCCAAACAGUUGAUUAAGAGAGCUUAUUUAAUCGUUGAUUCUUAUAUAUAUAUCUAUCAUUUUAUCACAAUAUGUUAGAAAUCAGUCAAAUUGAUAGAAAUAUUUUGAAAAAUAAUAUGUUAGGCAUGACAGGCUGAGAAGCGAGCAGGGAAAUCCCUCUGUCAAUGCGAUGUGGGAAACAUCUGAGUGAAGACAGUUUUGAGGGUCGAGGUCAAUUUUGGAUUCAUUAAAAGGCUAUAAAUAGCAUGAUGUUCUAAACAUAAGCAUGUUACAAGUGCACGUACACAUGCGCCCUCCCACACCCUCCUACUAGUUUGCGAUCACGCUCACCCACUCACUCACGUUGGAAAAAAAAUGCACACGCAUAGGCCUACGUACUGGCAUAUAAAUACUACUGUGAAUUCUACCUACGACUAUUGUUUGUACUAAUAUGCCGCUUCUGCUUCUCUACUGUUAUUGCCACUAAUGCUUUUUUGACAGACACCCAUAUGUAUUUAUUGUAAAGUUCGAACCUGUACUUUUCCACCUGUAAUUUGUUCUGAAGUUAGCAUUUGAUUAAGACGGAAGUGCGAAAUAUAAAUGUUUAUGAAUUCAUUGUCAUCUAAAUACAACUGCUUCUCGUAUCUAAAAUUUUUAAUGUUUGAUACGAUAUCAAACUGCAAAAUUCAUAUUUAUUUAUGGUGACGAUGAAUAUCACCACAUCGCCCUCACAAGGAUGUAGAAAGACAAAGCUGAAAUGAGAAAAGAUCGAUUUAUUAUACAUGUAAUUUCAUUAAAAAAUAUAUAAAAGACUGAAAUUCAUUACUGAUUUCACAAAAAAAAGAGACAAUUUUGUGGAAGUCGGGAAUUUUCCAAAGCUGCUGAAAACAUGCUCACGUAUCCAUCCUCCAUUCUACAAACUUUAUAAAAUAGAUUGGAUAACAAGAAAUUGAUUAUUUCCCUUGUUUUGGUGGAAAUUAUAUAUUCAUCUUCAAAGUUAUUUCAUUAAAAUUAAUUUUCAUUCCGAUGGAGACUGAACAAAAAAACUUAAGGAAAGAAGAGCUGCCCUUGGUCAGAGUCGUAGAAGAAAAAAACAACAACCUUGCUCUGUAUAUUGUUCGUCUAGAACAGAUAACAUGGGCUCAUUGUAAUUGUUUCAAUUUUUACCAUUAAAAUGUGAUUUAUAUAUUUAAAAAAGUAGGAAGAAAUAUGAAGGGUUUUUGUUAAAUCUAUAAACUUGACAUGUGCAGUUUGCAUUUUUCUUUAGGCCUGCAUUUUUCAUCUAUUGACAUUGUCGUGAUAGUGCAUCGCCCGAUUCUAGUCGCCUUGCGUUAAUUUAUCGAACCAUGCCGAAGAAAGUGACCAGAAAGUCGGAGCGAAAUGAGGCGACGUUUCAUGGCAUUAAAUGAGUAUGGAAUGGCAUAAAUGAUAAGCGAAUCUAUUCAAGUUCAAAUUCAGGUCAUUUCCCUGAUGCAGACCUCUUAGAGAGGUUUUAUGCCCUCACGGAAUGCCACAAGUAUAUGGUUCAGCGGCCACCUGCAGUCUCGGCCCGCCGGUAUGGGGAUAAGUAGUUCCCUCCAGAGUACAGAUGCAUGAGGGUGUUUUUACCCUAUAUGAACAUGCAAAAUCCAAUGAUACCACAAAUCAACAAAUCAAGACGACGAAUUGCAAUUCUAACAAAUUAAACACAAAGGGUUAUUCAUUAAAUGAAAAAACAACGGAACCUUAAUUAAGGUGGUUAUUCUCAUGUAUAAUAGUACAUAAAUAAAAUUAACAUGCUGCUUUGAAGGCAAUAUUUGUAUAAAAACAAUGAAAAUAAACACCAUACGAAAUUCAUAAGAAGUCUACUGACUGAAACGUUCAACAUCUUUAUAUCCAUAAUGUUCUUUUCAUUCACAUUGCAUAUUUUGCUUGUAUAUUGCACUAAUGAAGUCAAGACAAAGUAGUAAAAUCAAAUACAUCUGUCUCAAGAGUUUACAAACAAGCAACCGAUGAACGUUAAUUCUUUUGCUUUGUAUAAUUUCUUGGAAAACAAGGUACGUGUAUUAUCUGAAUAUUAACAACAUAAUCUCGAACAUUAAUCGUCCCCAAUACAAUGGAAUUAUUAUUUGAUUAAGACAUUGGUAUUUUCUCUUUUUAUGAUCGAUCGAAUCGACAAGCAAGACAGUCAGGCCAAAUCCUGGCCAAAGCCUUGAAAAUGUCAGACGCAUAAAUCUUGUACUUGGUCCACGAGCUCCCGGUAUAGCAUUAACAUGGAUUAGGCCUCUGGUCGGCCAGUUGACGAUUGAAGUUCCUAUUGCAGACAUUCAUAAUGAUUGGUCGAUAAUUAUAUGAUUAAUGAUAUUAGGUUGUUCGAUGGAAUCAAGGCUUGUAAAAUGGUACAGGUCAAUGUCUGGACCCCGAAAAUGAAUCCAUGUUUUAUUUUUUUUUGCAAAGAGCGUGAGGCAUCCUGUGAAAAUUUAGUGGUGUUGCUUUCGGUCCAGCCUACU